CAGACCUGUAGAUUGGUUGUGGGUAGGUAAGACUAUUUUGUCCUUACUACCUGAGGAAAGUCCGGGCUCCUAAAGGGCAGGGUGCUGGGUAAUUCCCAGGAGGAGUGAUCCUACGGAUAGUGCAACAGAAAGUAUACCGCGUGCAGCUGGCGACAUUAGUCGUGAGCCUUCCACGUAAGGGUGAAAAGGCGAGGUAAGAGCUCACCGCCUGAAAUGGUGACAUUUCAGAGGCUUGUAAACCCCACCUGGAGCAAGGCCAAAUAAACAGGCAUAAAGUGACCCGCUUUUGCCUCACGGGUAGGCCGCUUAGAUAGAUGACCAUUAAAACAGAACCCGGCUUACUACAGGUCUGUUUA
rnacentral:RNase_P_RNA from 1 species